rnacentral:rRNA from 1 species
UCAGCCAGCCACAGCUCCAAGAAUACGCGGAGGAGGUGGCCCGGGUCGGCGUCGGCGCCAUCCGGCGCGGGCCACGGGCCCGCUUCCAAGUGUGUCUGUGCGCCGGCCACCCACGCCGGGUCCUUCAAGUGCCACUUCCACCGCACCAACUCCCAGGGCCACGGCCAGGGCCAGGGAAGCCGCCCUUCUUCGCCCCCUUCACCGACCGCGGCCAACGCGGUGCCACGGCACCCGGCCUCGCCGUCCUCGUCCUCCGGCACCGUCACGUCCCAGUGA